rnacentral:rRNA from 1 species
UACGGAGGGUGCAAGCGUUAUCCGGAUUCACUGGGUUUAAAGGGUGCGUAGGUGGGCAGGUAAGUCCGUGGUGAAAUCUCUGAGCUUAACUCAGAAACUGCCGUGGAUACUAUUUGUCUUGAAUGUUGUGGAGGUGAGCGGAAUAUGUCAUGUAGCGGUGAAAUGCUUAGAUAUGACAUAGAACACCAAUUGCGAAGGCAGCUCACUACACAAUUAUUGACGCUGAGGCACGAAAGCGUGGGGAGCAAAAGGG